rnacentral:misc_RNA from 1 species
CCAAUAGCGUAUAUUACAGUUGUUGCAGUUAAAAAGCUCGUAGUUGACCUUCGGGGUUUACCCAUUGGUCAGGCUUAAUUGUCUGUACUGGUGAGAUAAAUCUCUACCUUCUGAGGAACUUUCAUGCCAUUUAUUUGGUGUGAUUGGAAAUCAGGACUAUUACUUUGAAAAAAUUAGAGUGUUUAAAGCAGGCUAACGUCUGAAUAUAUUAGCAUGUAAUAAUGAAAUAGGACGGCUUGGUUCUAUUUCGUUGGUUUCUAGGAUCACCGUAAUGAUUAAUAGGGAUAGUUGGGAGCAUUAGUAUUCAAUUGUCAGAGGUGAAAUUCUUGGAUUUAUUGAAGACUAACUACUGCGAAAGCAUUUGCCAAGGAUGUUUUCAUUAAUCAAGAACGAAAGUUAGGGGAUCGAAGACGAUCAGAUACCGUCGUAGUCUUAACCAUAAACUAUGCCGACUAGGGAUCGGACGAAGUUAAUUUUAUAAUGACGCGUUCGGCACCUUACG